GAACUAAAGAGUUUGAUCCUGGCUCAGAUUGAACGCUGGCGGUAUGCUUUACACAUGCAAGUCGAACGGCAGCAUAGGUGCUUGCACCUGAUGGCGAGUGGCGAACGGGUGAGUAAUGCAUCGGAACGUGCCCAGUCGUGGGGGAUAACGCAGCGAAAGCUGUGCUAAUACCGCAUACGAUCUAUGGAUGAAAGCGGGGGACCUUCGGGCCUCGCGCGAUUGGAGCGGCCGAUGUUAGAUUAGGUAGUUGGUGAGGUAAAGGCUCACCAAGCCUACGAUCUAUAGCUGGUCUGAGAGGACGACCAGCCACACUGGAACUGAGACACGGUCCAGACUCCUACGGGA
rnacentral:rRNA from 1 species